rnacentral:rRNA from 1 species
UGGGGAAUAUUGCACAAUGGGCGCAAGCCUGAUGCAGCCAUGCCGCGUGUAUGAAGAAGGCCUUCGGGUUGUAAAGUACUUUCAGCGGGGAGGAAGGGAGUAAAGUUAAUACCUUUGCUCAUUGACGUUACCCGCAGAAGAAGCACCGGCUAACUCCGUGCCAGCAGCCGCGGUAAUACGGAGGGUGCAAGCGUUAAUCGGAAUUACUGGGCGUAAAGCGCACGCAGGCGGUUUGUUAAGUCAGAUGUGAAAUCCCCGGGCUCAACCUGGGAACUGCAUCUGAUACUGGCAAGCUUGAGUCUCGUAGAGGGGGGUAGAAUUCCAGGUGUGGCGGUGAAAUGCGUAGAGAUCUGGAGGAAUACCGGUGGCGAAGGCGGCCCCCUGGACGAAGACUGACGAUCAGGUGCGAAAGCGUAGGGAGCAAACAGG